AGAGUUUGAUCCUGGCUCAGGAUGAACGCUGGCGGCGUGCCUAACACAUGCAAGUCGAACGAAGCUUGACGGAUGAUUUCUUCGGAAUGAAACCUGAUAUGACUUAGUGGCGGACGGGUGAGUAACACGUGAGCAACCUGCCUUUCAGAGGGGGAUAACGGCUGGAAACGGUCGCUAAUACCGCAUGAUGUGUUCGGAUGGCAUCAUCUGAACAUCAAAGAUUUAUCGCUGAAAGAUGGGCUCGCGUCUGAUUAGAUAGUUGGUGGGGUAACGGCCUACCAAGUCUACGAUCAGUAGCCGGACUGAGAGGUUGAACGGCCACAUUGGGACUGAGAUACGGCCCAGACUCCUACGGGAGGCAGCAGUGGGGAAUAUUGCACAAUGGGGGAAACCCUGAUGCAGCAACGCCGCGUGAAGGAUGACGGUUUUCGGAUUGUAAACUUCUUUUCUUAGUGACGAAGACAGUGACGGUAGCUAAGGAAUAAGCAUCGGCUAACUACGUGCCAGCAGCCGCGGUAAUACGUAGGAUGCAAGCGUUAUCCGGAUUUACUGGGUGUAAAGGGAGCGCAGGCGGGACUGCAAGUUGGAUGUGAAAUACCGUGGCUUAACCACGGAACUGCAUCCAAAACUGUAGUUCUUGAGUGAAGUAGAGGCAAGCGGAAUUCCGAGUGUAGCGGUGAAAUGCGUAGAUAUUCGGAGGAACACCAGUGGCGAAGGCGGCUUGCUGGGCUUUAACUGACGCUGAGGCUCGAAAGUGUGGGGAGCAAACAGGAUUAGAUACCCUGGUAGUCCACACUGUAAACGAUGAUAGCUAGGUGUGGGGGGUCUGACCCCUUCCGUGCCGGAGUUAACGCAAUAAGCUAUCCACCUGGGGAGUACGACCGCAAGGUUGAAACUCAAAGGAAUUGACGGGGGCCCGCACAAGCAGUGGAUUAU
rnacentral:rRNA from 1 species